rnacentral:rRNA from 1 species
AACGGUAAGUUAGAAAGGGCGCACGUGGAUGCCUUGGCACUAGGAGCCGAUGAAGACGGGACGAACACCGAUAUGCUUCGGGGAGCUGUAAGCAAGCAUUGAUCCGGAGAUUUCCGAAAGGGGAAACCCACCACUCGUAAUGGAGUGGUAUCCAUAUCUGAAUACAUAGGAUAUGAGAAGGCAGACCGGGGAACUGAAACAUCUAAGUACCCGGAGGAAGAGAAAGCAAAUGCGAUUCCCUGAGUAGCGGCGAGCGAAACGGGACCAGCCCAAACCAAGAGGCUUGCCUCUGGGGGUUGUAGGACACUCUGUACGGAGUUACAAAGGAACGAGGUAGAUGAAGAGGUCUGGAAAGGCCCGCCAUAGGAGGUAACAGCCCUGUAGUCAAAACUUCGUUCUCUCCUGAGUGGAUCCUGAGUACGGCGGAACACGUGAAAUUCCGUCGGAAUCCGGGAGGACCAUCUCCCAAGGCUAAAUACUCCCUAGUGACCGAUAGUGAACCAGUACCGUGAGGGAAAGGUGAAAAGCACCCCGGAAGGGGAGUGAAAGAGAUCCUGAAACCGUGUGCCUACAAGUAGUCAGAGCCCGUUAACGGGUGAUGGCGUGCCUUUUGUAGAAUGAACCGGCGAGUUACGAUCCCGUGCAAGGUUAAGCAGAAGAUGCGGAGCCGCAGCGAAAGCGAGUCUGAAUAGGGCGAAUUGAGUACGUGGUCGUAGACCCGAAACCAGGUGAUCUACCCAUGUCCAGGGUGAAGUUCAGGUAACACUGAAUGGAGGCCCGAACCCACGCACGUUGAAAAGUGCGGGGAUGAGGUGUGGGUAGGGGUGAAAUGCCAAUCGAACCUGGAGAUAGCUGGUUCUCUCCGAAAUAGCUUUAGGGCUAGCCUCAAGGUAAGAGUCUCGGAGGUAGAGCACUGAUUGGACUAGGGGCCCCUACCGGGUUACCGAAUUCAGUCAAACUCCGAAUGCCGAUGACUUAUCCUUGGGAGUCAGACUGCGAGUGAUAAGAUCCGUAGUCGAAAGGGAAACAGCCCAGACCGCCAGCUAAGGUCCCAAAGUAUACGUUAAGUGGAAAAGGAUGUGGAGUUGCUUAGACAACCAGGAUGUUGGCUUAGAAGCAGCCACCAUUUAAAGAGUGCGUAAUAGCUCACUGGUCGAGUGACUCUGCGCCGAAAAUGUACCGGGGCUAAACGUAUCACCGAAGCUGCGGACUGUUCUUCGAACAGUGGUAGGAGAGCGUUCUAAGGGCUGUGAAGCAAGACCGGAAGGACUUGUGGAGCGCUUAGAAGUGAGAAUGCCGGUAUGAGUAGCGAAAGAGGGGUGAGAAUCCCCUCCACCGAAUGCCUAAGGUUUCCUGAGGAAGGCUCGUCCGCUCAGGGUUAGUCGGGACCUAAGCCGAGGCCGAAAGGCGUAGGCGAUGGAUAACAGGUUGAUAUUCCUGUACCACCUCCUCACCAUUUGAGCAAUGGGGGGACGCAGGAGGAUAGGGUAAGCGCGGUAUUGGAUAUCCGCGUCCAAGCAGUUAGGCUGGGAAAUAGGCAAAUCCGUUUCCCGUGAAGGCUGAGCUGUGAUGGCGAGCGAAUUAUAGUAGCGAAGUUCCUGAUUCCACACUGCCAAGAAAAGCCUCUAGCGAGGUGAGAGGUGCCCGUACCGCAAACCGACACAGGUAGGCGAGGAGAGAAUCCUAAGGUGAUCGAGAGAACUCUCGUUAAGGAACUCGGCAAAAUGACCCCGUAACUUCGGGAGAAGGGGUGCUCUGUUAGGGUGCAAGCCCGAGAGAGCCGCAGUGAAUAGGCCCAGGCGACUGUUUAGCAAAAACACAGGUCUCUGCGAAGCCGUAAGGCGAAGUAUAGGGGCUGACGCCUGCCCGGUGCUGGAAGGUUAAGAGGAGCGCUUAGCGUAAGCGAAGGUGCGAAUUGAAGCCCCAGUAAACGGCGGCCGUAACUAUAACGGUCCUAAGGUAGCGAAAUUCCUUGUCGGGUAAGUUCCGACCCGCACGAAAGGCGCAACGAUCUGGGCACUGUCUCAACGAGAGACUCGGUGAAAUUAUAGUACCUGUGAAGAUGCAGGUUACCCGCGACAGGACGGAAAGACCCCGUGGAGCUUUACUGCAGCCUGAUAUUGAAUGUUGGUACAGCUUGUACAGGAUAGGUAGGAGCCUUGGAAACCGGAGCGCCAGCUUCGGUGGAGGCAUCGGUGGGAUACUACCCUGGCUGUAUUGACCUUCUAACCCGCCGCCCUUAUCGGGCGGGGAGACAGUGUCAGGUGGGCAGUUUGACUGGGGCGGUCGCCUCCUAAAAGGUAACGGAGGCGCCCAAAGGUUCCCUCAGAAUGGUUGGAAAUCAUUCGCAGAGUGUAAAGGCACAAGGGAGCUUGACUGCGAGACCUACAAGUCGAGCAGGGACGAAAGUCGGGCUUAGUGAUCCGGUGGUUCCGCAUGGAAGGGCCAUCGCUCAACGGAUAAAAGCUACCCCGGGGAUAACAGGCUUAUCUCCCCCAAGAGUCCACAUCGACGGGGAGGUUUGGCACCUCGAUGUCGGCUCAUCGCAUCCUGGGGCUGUAGUCGGUCCCAAGGGUUGGGCUGUUCGCCCAUUAAAGCGGUACGCGAGCUGGGUUCAGAACGUCGUGAGACAGUUCGGUCCCUAUCCGUCGCGGGCGCAGGAAAUUUGAGAGGAGCUGUCCUUAGUACGAGAGGACCGGGAUGGACGCACCGCUGGUGUACCAGUUGUUCUGCCAAGGGCAUCGCUGGGUAGCUAUGUGCGGACGGGAUAAGUGCUGAAAGCAUCUAAGCAUGAAGCCCCCCUCAAGAUGAGAUUUCCCAUUCCGCAAGGAAGUAAGAUCCCUGAAAGAUGAUCAGGUUGAUAGGUCUGAGGUGGAAGUGUGGCGACACAUGGAGCUGACAGAUACUAAUCGAUCGAGGACUUAACCAA